AGUCUUCCAUAUGGUUUAUUCUUUUACAAUGGGGCGACAAAAGCAGAGAACAUAGUUGACCCAAUCGCUUGUUUUCUAACAAUGUGGGUAAGAGUCAAGUCACUUAGAGUUAUCUCCUUAUUGACGUUGCUAGGGACGCUAUUUAGCGCUUACAUCAUCAUCGUAGCAGCCAUGAGCCCGAACCCAUUCCUAGUUAAACAGACGGCAGGAGGAAUUCUCAUUAUUGCUGCCUGGGUUAUAAGUACCGCUCUGAAUGUCUUUGCCAAGGUCACGAUCGCAAGUGUCAUGCGAAGUCAAGGCCGGAUCUCACUCAUUUACACUGGGGGCAGCACCCAAACUGGUACCCUGAUUGGGGCUGUGCUUGCGUACGUCAUGAUCAAUGAACUGAGACUCUUCAAAGACAGCCCGUGGUGCUAAACAGAGAGAAUUCUAGUGUGUGACAGAGAACGAGACAGACAGACAGACAGACAGAUAUUAAAGUAUUAUAAUUAUGAAGUAAAACUAUCAGCUUGAAAAAAAAUUUUAAAAAAUGUGUAUGUGAUACAACUGAAUCGCCGUUUGUAUUGUACGACUGUCAAAACCUUCGUAGCUUCACAUUAUCUUAUUCUUUUAGUUUUCAUAUGAAAAUCACAUUGUAAAGUAUUUCCUUUCUUCUGUCUAAAUGUACGUGUAGACUGUUAUGGCACGACUAGGAAAUAAUUCUUUGUUUCGGAAAUAAGAGAAUGUUUGACUUAGUGACUAUGACGUGACUAAUAUUGGAUGGCUGCCUGGUCGUGCGGUUUGCACGCUGGACUGUCGUUCAGAUUUAUCGAUGGUCCCGGGUUCAAACCCUGCCCGCUCCCAUCCCCCGUCGUCAAGUGGGAGGUUUGGACUAGGAAGUAAUUAUCUUCAACUCUGAAGGAACAUCCGAAACAUGUAAAACAUUUUACAAACAUUUUAAUAAAAACAAGACUAGGUUUUAUGGACAGAAUGAAAGACCAGCCGACUUAAACAGGCUACUUCCAGGACAACGUAGAAAUAAGUCACAGUUUAUAAACGUAGAGAGUUAGCGGACAUUCGACGGUUCCCUUCAUAGCUAUUAAACUUGUUCGACAUUCAGUAUUAGCAUCGACUACCUUUUAUUGAUUGUUCGGCCUUCCGCCGGUGUUAUUUGAUUAAGUAUUGCGUUGAGUUUUACCUCCAUUUGGUUGAUUUCCAUUAGACACCGCGGAAGCGCCUAACAAGACUCACUGAUUAAACCAAUUUAAAGACUUUGACAAAUUCAGUUUCCUAUAACUUUAUUUACUAUUAAAAAUCUAGACAUAUGGCGUAAAAGAAUGUACCAUAUCUUCACUUCGUUUUAAUUCACUGUGCUUCACUGAACUUCUCAGCACUUCAAUGCAAUUCCUUGCACUUCAACGGACUUUUCUGUGUUCAACCAGUCUUAAGUGUUUCGAGCCGUAUUCCGCGCUACUUAACUGUUGCGAGACGUAAACUCUACCUCUAGGCCCGGCCCUAGGUCACUGCAACCAAUGUGGCCGCAGUGGACCUCGCACUUUCAUAGGUCCCGCACUAAUUCUAGGCGUAAAUUAUUUAAUUAAGCCAUUUAUAACUUAUAACAGUGUUCCCGCGCCUUCCUCAUUUUCCAGGUUAAUUUCAAUAUUAGACAUAAUUGUAGGUAUUUCUGUGUAGCAAAUAUACUGCACAGUUAUUUCAUUCCUACCAGUAGAUUAUUUAAUAUCUUGAAUGAUAUUAAGGAGCUUCUAAAUAAAUAUGUCUUUAAAUGA
rnacentral:sRNA from 1 species